rnacentral:rRNA from 1 species
CACGUAGGGGGCGAGCGUUGUCCGGAUUUAUUGGGCGUAAAGAGCGUGUAGGCGGUCCGGUAAGUCCGCUGUGAAAGUCGGGGGCUCAACCCUCGAAUGCCGGUGGAUACUGUCGGGCUAGAGUGCGGAAGAGGCGAGUGGAAUUCCUGGUGUAGCGGUGAAAUGCGCAGAUAUCAGGAGGAACACCUAUUGCGAAGGCAGCUCGCUGGGACGUAACUGACGCUGAGACGCGAAAGCGUGGGGAGCAAACAGG